rnacentral:rRNA from 1 species
CUCUUCCGAUCUGUUUCCCAGUCACGAUACGGUUGCCGCUAAUACCGAAUGAGGUAUCUGUAGAUAACUAUAGAAUAUCAAAGUGGGGGACCGAAAGGCCUCGCGGUUAUAGAAAGGCUCAUGGGAUAUCAGCUAGUUGGUGUGGUAAUGGCGCACCAAGGCUAAGACGUCUAGGCGGACUGAGAGGUUGACCGCCAACACUGGGACUGAGACACUGCCCAGACUCCUACGGGAGGCUGCAGUCGAGAAUCAUUCACAAUGGGGGAAACCCUGAUGAUGCGACGCCGUGUGAGCGAUGAAGGCCUUCGGGUUGUAAAGCUCUUUCGUAAGGGAACAAGAGAAAUAGGUGAACAAUCUGUUGAUUUGAGAGUACCUUAUAAAGAAGCACCGGCUAACUCCGUGCCAGCAGCUGCGGUAAUACGGAGGGUGCAAGCAUUAAUCGGAAUUAUUGGGCGUAAAGGGCGUGUAGGCGGAUAGGAAAGUCAGAUGUGAAAUUUCGGAGCUCAACUUCGAAGCUGCAUUUGAAACUUCCGAUCUAGAGGGUAGGCGGAGAAAACGGAAUUCCACGUGUAGCGGUGAAAUGCGUAGAGAUGUGGAAGAACACCUGUGGCGAAAGCGGUUUUCUAGCUUACAAACUGACGCUGAGGCGCGAAAGCAAGGGGAGCAAACAGGAUUAGAUACCCUGGUAGUCCUUGCGGUAAACGAUGUAUACUUGAUGUAGUCGGACUUAAUCCUGACUGUGUCGAAGCUAACGCGUUAAGUAUACCGCCUGGGGAGUACGCUCGCAAGGGUAAAACUCAAAAGAAUUGACGGGGCCUAUCGUGACUGGGAAACAGAUCGGAAGAGCACACGUCUGAACUCCAGUCACUCCGCGAAAUCUCGUAUGCCGUCUUCU